AUACGUAGGUGGCAAGCGUUGUCCGGAUUUACUGGGCGUAAAGGAUGCGUAGGCGGAUAUUUAAGUGAGAUGUGAAAUCCCUAAGCUUAACUUAGGUGUUGCAUUUCAAACUGGAUGUCUAGAGUGCAGGAGAGGAGAAUGGAAUUCCUAGUGUAGCGGUGAAAUGCGUAGAGAUUAGGAAGAACACCAGUGGCGAAGGCGAUUCUCUGGACUGUAACUGACGCUGAGGCAUGAAAGCGUGGGUAGCAAACAGGAUUAGAUACCCUGGUAGUCCACGCCGUAAACGAUGAGUACUAGGUGUAGGAGGUCCAACCUUCUGUGCCGCAGUUAACACAAUAAGUACUCCGCCUGGGAAGUACGAUCGCAAGAUUAAA
rnacentral:rRNA from 1 species